UGCAAUUGGGUCUCUGCCUUACGAAUCGUGACAAGAACUGCCCACCGGAAACACGGAACAUGGGCUGCACAGGAACCCUGAGGGAUUCUACCUUUUCCUAUCAUAAUUUUAUAAAUCGAGGUUAAAUUGAGGUGACUGAACCCGAGACUACAGUGAAGAUAAAGGUGAAAAUGCAGGGUAGACCGUCCUUGGAGUCUCCUGAGCUGGACUUGCAGAGUCCAAACUCCCAAGAACAGCAGACCAUAGCUGACGUACUCCGUAUUGAGAAAUGCCCUUGAUCUCACUUGAAAACAGCCCUGAAAGAGGUCCUACAGGGGUGGUUCCUGUGGAACAUACACAAAGGAUCCAGAGAUGCCGAAACACCCUCCAGUUUGAAAGAAGAAGAAAGUCAUUCUAAGUCUGACAUUUGAAGCUAGAAAAGGAAUACAUUUCUGUGAGAUAUGAACCUGUUCUCUUUACUGAAUAAUUCUCUUUCUACAAAACGCUU
rnacentral:lncRNA from 1 species